GCUUAGAGUUUGAUCCUGGCUCAGGAUGAACGCUGGCGGUAUGCUUAACACAUGCAAGUCGAACGGAGUACUUCGGUACUUAGUGGCGGACGGGUGAGUAACGCGUGAGAAUCUGCCUUCAGGAUGGGGAUAACAGUGGGAAACCAGUGCUAACACCCAAUGAGCCGAGAGGUAAAAAAUUUAUUGCCUGAAGAGGAGCUCGCGUCCGAUUAGUUAGUUGGUGGGGUAAAGGCCUACCAAGGCGGCGAUCGGUAACUGGUCUGAGAGGACGAUCGGUCACACUGGGACUGGGACACGGCCCAGACUCCUACGGGAGGCAGCAGUGGGGAAUUUUCCGCAAUGGGGGCAACCCUGACGGAGCAAUACCGCGUGAGGGAGGAAGGCCUUUGGGUUGUAAACCUCUUUUCUUAAGGAAGAAGCUCUGACGGUACUUAAGGAAUCAGCAUCGGCUAACUCCGUGCCAGCAGCCGCGGUAAUACGGAGGAUGCAAGCGUUAUCCGGAAUUAUUGGGCGUAAAGCGUCCGCAGGCGGCAUUAUAAGUCUGCUGUCAAAGACCGCAGCUCAACUGCGGAGAGGCAGUGGAAACUGUAAAGCUAGAGUACGGUAGGGGGUAGAGGGAAUUCCCAGUGUAGCGGUGAAAUGCGUAGAGAUUGGGAAGAACACCAGUGGCGAAAGCGCUCUACUGGGCCGUAACUGACGCUCAGGGACGAAAGCUAGGGGAGCGAAAGGGAUUAGAUACCCCUGUAGUC
rnacentral:rRNA from 1 species